UACGUAGGGCGCGAGCGUUGUCCGGAAUUAUUGGGCGUAAAGAGCUCGUAGGCGGCUUGUCGCGUCGGCCGUGAAAACCUGCAGCUUAACUGUGGGCGUGCGGUCGAUACGGGCAUCACUGGAGUUCGGCAGGGGAGACUGGAAUUCCUGGUGUAGCGGUGAAAUGCGCAGAUAUCAGGAGGAACACCGGUGGCGAAGGCGGGUCUCUGGGCCGAUACUGACGCUGAGGAGCGAAAGCGUGGGGAGCGAACAGG
rnacentral:rRNA from 1 species